GGAUGUGAGGGCGAUCUGGCUGCGACAUCUGUCACCCCAUUGAUCGCCAGGGUUGAUUCGGCUGAUCUGGCUGGCUAGGCGGGUGUCCCCCUCCUCCCUCACAGAUCCAUGUUCGUCCCUCCCGAAGCUGCGCGCUCAGUCGGUCGAAGAGGACGACCUUUCCCCCCCCCCCCAGGAGAGGACCAGUCUUCGGUCAAGGGUAUACGAGUAGCUGCGCUCCCCUGCUAGAACCUCCAAACAAGCUCUCAAUUUAAUACGUAUACUAUAUGAUUCAUAUCUUGCUUUUGCUGCUAUGCCUUAAUCAUUAGGGCUUCCUUUAGGGCUGGAAUCUGAGAGAU
ensembl:misc_RNA 7SK 7SK RNA